rnacentral:rRNA from 1 species
CCUACGGGAGGCAGCAGUGGGGAAUAUUGGACAAUGGGCGAAAGCCUGAUCCAGCAAUGCCGCGUGAGUGAUGAAGGCCCUAGGGUUGUAAAGCUCUUUCACCGGAGAAGAUAAUGACUGUACCGGGAGAAUAAGCCCCGGCUAACUCCGUGCCAGCAGCCGCGGUAAU